rnacentral:rRNA from 1 species
UACGGGGGGGGCAAGCGUUGUUCGGAAUUACUGGGCGUAAAGGGCUCGUAGGCGGCCAACUAAGUCGGAUGUGAAAUCCCCAAGCUUAACUUGGGAACUGCAUCCGAUACUGGAUGGCUUGAAUCCGGGAGAGGGAUGCAGAAUUCCAGGUGUAGCGGUGAAAUGCGUAGAUAUCUGGAGGAAUACCGGUGGCGAAGGCGGCAUCCUGGACCGGCAUUGACGCUGAACAGCGAAAGCUAGGGGAGCAAACGGG